rnacentral:rRNA from 1 species
UACGUAGGGUGCGAGCGUUGUCCGGAAUUAUUGGGCGUAAAGAGCUUGUAGGUGGCUCGUUGCGUCGGGAGUGAAAACCUGCGGCUUAACCGCAGGCCCGCUUCCGAUACGGGCGAGCUAGAGUUCGGCAGGGGAGACUGGAAUUCCUGGUGUAGCGGUGGAAUGCGCAGAUAUCAGGAGGAACACCGGUGGCGAAGGCGGGUCUCUGGGCCGAUACUGACACUGAGAAGCGAAAGCGUGGGGAGCGAACAGG